rnacentral:rRNA from 1 species
GACGAACGCUGGCGGCGUGCCUAAUACAUGCAAGUAGAACGCUGAAGAGAGGAGCUUGCUCUUCUUGGAUGAGUUGCGAACGGGUGAGUAACGCGUAGGUAACCUGCCAUGUAGCGGGGGAUAACUAUUGGAAACGAUAGCUAAUACCGCAUAACAAUGGAUGACACAUGUCAUUUAUUUGAAAGGGGCAAUUGCUCCACUACAAGAUGGACCUGCGUUGUAUUAGCUAGUAGGUGAGGUAAUGGCUCACCUAGGCGACGAUACAUAGCCGACCUGAGAGGGUGAUCGGCCACACUGGGACUGAGACACGGCCCAGACUCCUACGGGAGGCAGCAGUAGGGAAUCUUCGGCAAUGGGGGCAACCCUGACCGAGCAACGCCGCGUGAGUGAAGAAGGUUUUCGGAUCGUAAAGCUCUGUUGUAAGUCAAGAACGGGUGUGAGAGUGGAAAGUUCACACUGUGACGGUAGCUUACCAGAAAGGGACGGCUAACUACGUG